GAUGCUGGGACAACGAUUGACCAUCCCAUCAUGUGGAUCGACGCUGGGACCAGGAUUAACAUCCAUCAGCUGGAUCAACACCUCCUUCUGGACAGGACGACAGCAAUGGGCAGGAACAGGGCAAUGGAGAGGAACAGGACCAUGGCCAUGGAUGAGGAGAAGCCCGCCCAGGCCUCCUCUGCCUCCUCCGCCCCCCGCGGAUGGACCUCAGGCUUCCACAGGAUGGGCAAAGAACCCCCAGGAUCCUGGGCUUCCCAUCGGCCAGACCCACCCAGCUGGAUGGACACUGGGACCAGGAUUAACAUCCCAGCAUGAGGGUAGGGAUCCAUGCUGGGACAAGGAUUAACCAUCCUAUCCUGUGGAUAGAUGCUGGGACAAGGAUUAACCAUCCCAUCAUGUGGAUCGACGCUGG